AGUUUGCAAACCGAGGGGAGUUGUGAAGGGCGCAGGUGGGGGGCGCUGCCGGCCUCGUGGGUACGUUCGUGCCGCGUCUGUCCCAGAGCUGGGGCCGCAGGAGCGGAGGCAAGAGGGGCACUAUGGCAGUCAAAGUUAGGAGGCAGAGGCCGAGGAGGCGAGUCUGUUGGGCCUUGGUGGCUGUGCUCUUGGCAGACCUGUUGGCACUGAGUGAUACACUGGCAGUGAUGUCUGUGGACCUGGGCAGUGAGUCCAUGAAGGUGGCCAUCGUCAAACCUGGAGUGCCCAUGGAAAUUGUCUUGAAUAAGUGAGGGUGGCCCCCGUGUUAAGAGUGGGGAACUAGGGAGUCUGGGCUCCAAGUGUGAAUGUGUUAGUCAUAGUGCCCACAGCAGACUUCGGCAUCUGAGUGGUUAAAUGUGUGUGAGUGUCGAGGCUUCUGAGUCCUUCUGCUGCAGGCACCUGGGCCCAAAAUCUCUUUUCCUCAGGGAAUCUCGGAGGAAAACACCGGUGAUCGUGACCCUGAAAGAAAAUGAAAGAUUCUUUGGAGACAGUGCAGCAAGCAUGGUGA
rnacentral:sRNA from 1 species